rnacentral:lncRNA from 1 species
GCAGGAGUCAGCCGGAGGAUGCAGUGCUGAGGCCCGGGGCUGUCUUUGGUGAUGACAUAAAGAAGUGAGCAUCAUUGAGAGAGAGAGGGUCUCACAACCACAGGAGCUGUGAUCUGGCCUUGAGAAUUCAAUAGCAAUCCCCAGGGCUAAUGAUGGUCCUCCUGUGCUCAGCGCUAAACAAGACAUUCAGAACAUUUACCUACCAACGUUCAGAGAACACUGUGGACGAGGAGGCAAAAGGAACCUAAGAGUCGGAGGAUAAAGGAAGUGCUAGAAGAUGCUGGACCAGCAUGGACUGUGUCUCAUGAACUCACAGUCACAGUGGUUACCUGCAGGAGACCCGAGCAAGAUGGAACCCAUUAACAUUCCAGCACAGAUGCGGGCUGGGCACAUGUGGCCCAACUUCUAGGAGCUAUUUGUAAUGGCUGCUGGGGUUCUUCGGGGUGCUUUCAAAGAGGAACCUGUGCUAAGGAGCACCGCCGUUCCCCCCACCCCCACCCAACCCGAGACGUGCAGCUGUUGGGUCUUGUGAUGUGAGCGUUGCUGUAAAAGGCACAGGUGCUGACGAUGGAUCCAGUCAUCGACGGGGGCAGAUCUAGUCCCGAGGACUCUGCGUUUAUGAGUGAACUAAUCUGUGGAUGGAUUCGGAAUAUGGUGGUGUUAUGGAGAGGCGG